rnacentral:rRNA from 1 species
AGAGUUUGAUCCUGGCUCAGAACGAACGCUGGCGGCAGGCUUAACACAUGCAAGUCGAACGCCCCGCAAGGGGAGUGGCAGACGGGUGAGUAACGCGUGGGAACGUGCCCUUCGGUUCGGAAUAACUCAGGGAAACUUGAGCUAAUACCGGAUACGUGCGAGAGCAGAAAGAUUUAUCGCCGAAGGAUCGGCCCGCGUCCGAUUAGCUAGUUGGUGAGGUAACGGCUCACCAAGGCGACGAUCGGUAGCUGGUCUGAGAGGAUGAUCAGCCACAUUGGGACUGAGACACGGCCCAAACUCCUACGGGAGGCAGCAGUGGGGAAUAUUGGACAAUGGGCGCAAGCCUGAUCCAGCCAUGCCGCGUGAGUGAUGAAGGCCUUAGGGUUGUAAAGCUCUUUCGCCAGGGACGAUAAUGACGGUACCUGGACAAGAAGCCCCGGCUAACUUCGUGCCAGCAGCCGCGGUAAUACGAAGGGGGCUAGCGUUGUU